CCAAUAGCGUAUAUUAAAGAUGUUGCAGUUAAAAAGCUCGUAGUUGAAUUUCGGGAUUGACACAUCGGUCGUGUCUUAAGGGGUGUGAACUGGUGUAGUCAAUUUCUCACCUUCUGGAGAACCGCGAUGUCCUUAAUUGGGUGCCGUGAGGAACCAGGACCUUUACUUUGAAAAAAUUAGAGUGUUUAAAGCAGGCAUUUUUGCUUGAAUACAAUUAGCAUGGAAUAAUAAAAUAGGACGGCAUGAUUCUAUUUUGUUGGUUUCUAGGAUCACUGUAAUGAUUAAUAGAGAUAGUUGGGGGCAUUAGUAUUCAAUUGUCAGAGGUGAAAUUCUUGGAUUUAUUGAAGACUAACUACUGCGAAAGCAUUUGCCAAGGAUGUUUUCAUUAAUCAAGAACGAAAGUUAGGGGAUCGAAGACGAUCAGAUACCGUCGUAGUCUUAACCAUAAACUAUGCCAACUAGGAAUCAGACGAUGUUAAUUUUUUAAUGACUCG
rnacentral:rRNA from 1 species